GAAAUGAACGCUGGCGGCAGGCCUAACACAUGCAAGUCGAGCGGAUGAAGGGAGCUUGCUCCUGGAUUCAGCGGCGGACGGGUGAGUAAUGCCUAGGAAUCUGCCUGGUAGUGGGGGAUAACGUCCGGAAACGGGCGCUAAUACCGCAUACGUCCUGAGGGAGAAAGUGGGGGAUCUUCGGACCUCACGCUAUCAGAUGAGCCUAGGUCGGAUUAGCUAGUUGGUGGGGUAAAGGCCUACCAAGGCGACGAUCCGUAACUGGUCUGAGAGGAUGAUCAGUCACACUGGAACUGAGACACGGUCCAGACUCCUACGGGAGGCAGCAGUGGGGAAUAUUGGACAAUGGGCGAAAGCCUGAUCCAGCCAUGCCGCGUGUGUGAAGAAGGUCUUCGGAUUGUAAAGCACUUUAAGUUGGGAGGAAGGGCAGUAAAUUAAUACCUUGCUGUUUUGACGUUACCAACAGAAUAAGCACCGGCUAACUUCGUGCCAGCAGCCGCGGUAAUACGAAGGGUGCAAGCGUUAAUCGGAAUUACUGGGCGUAAAGCGCGCGUAGGUGGUUCAGCAAGUUGGAUGUGAAAUCCCCGGGCUCAACCUGGGAACUGCAUCCAAAACUACUGAGCUAGAGUACGGUAGAGGGUGGUGGAAUUUCCUGUGUAGCGGUG
rnacentral:rRNA from 1 species